GUAUGUGGUUCAGGGUGAUACUAAAACCGCACCGUUACAUUUGUGGUCCAAUUAUGUAGAGGUGAAACCAAUGUUUUAAAACUCGGUCUGGACACUGAACCGGACAACUUACCGGAUCACUGGGUUAUUGGAUCGACCGCUGGCAAAUCGCGGAUUAAUAAAUAAAUUUGUUUUGUUAUAUAAUAAUAUAUUAACUAUGUGUACCUUGUGUUGGUGAAAUGAAAUGUGUUGUUGAGGAAAAAAAAUGAUUGUGAGUGACGCUGCGCUCCAAACUCCAAAGAACAAACCGGAGUCCUCUGACCCAAGAAGUCUCUCUCACCCACUGAUUCAAGAAGUCUCUCUCACCCACUUUCACGCCAAGUUUGACCAGAAACUAACGGUGACUAAACGCCGUCAUAUACGGUCAUCCGACCGCUAAGCCGAACAAAACAGUAGUAGUUAGGGGUGGGCACUUUACCCGAUACCCGAAGCCGCACCCGAACCGAAAUCUGAACCGAAGUAGCAAAAUACCUGAACGGGUAUUAAGUUGGGAGAGAUUGGAUAUCCGAACCCGAACGGGUAAUAUCCGAACCCG
rnacentral:lncRNA from 1 species